rnacentral:rRNA from 1 species
GGUGAAAGGCCAAGCAAACUCGGUGAUAGCUGGUUCUCCCCGAAAUGCAUUUAGGUGCAGCGUCGGACGUUCAGCAUCGGAGGUAGAGCACUGGAUGGGCUAGGGGGCCUACAAGCUUACUGACCCCAACUAAACUCCGAAUGCCGAUGCUCAAGAACCCGGCAGUGAGACCACGAGGGAUGAGCUUCGUUGGUCGAAAGGGAAACAGCCCAGACCGCCGGCUAAGGCCCCAAAUUCUUGACUAAGUGGAAAACGAUGUGGGAACGCAAAGACAGCCAGGAGGUUGGCUUAGAAGCAGCCACCCUUAAAAGAGUGCGUAAUAGCUCACUGGUCGAGUGGUCCUGCGCGGAUAAUGUAACGGGGCUCAAGUCAAGAGCCGAAGCCGCGGAUUUCCGUCUUUGGACGGGAGUGGUAGGGGAGCGUCGAUCUCGCUGAGAAGCGGCGGUGUGAACCGUUGUGGAGCGUGGUCGAGUGCGAAUGCUGGUAUGAGUAGCGAGAGAGGAGUGAGAAACUCCUCCGCCGUAAGCCCAAGGGUUCCUGGGGAAGGCUAAUCCUCCCAGGGUAAGUCGGGAGCUAAGGCGAGGCCGAGAGGCGUAGUCGAUGCACAACUGGUUGAUAUUCCAGUACCACCGUGUCCGCGCCCAAUCCUAUUUGGACUGCUAAGGGGCUGCCUUCGGGCGAACCGACCCGUCCUUUGAUGGAUAGCAAUGGGGUGACGCAGGAAGGUAGCUCAACCCGGGCGUUGGUUGUCCCGGGGUAAGCAUGUAGGAGGUCCGAUAGGCAAAUCCGUCGGGCAUAACUCCGAGAUGCGAUGCCGAGCCGUUUUAGGCGAAGUGAGUGAUCCUACGCUGUCGAGAAAAACCUCUAGCGAGUUGACAUGGUGCCCGUACCCCAAACCGACGCAGGUGGGCAAGUAGAGAAUACUAAGGCGAUCGGGAUAACUCUGGUUAAGGAACUCGGCAAACUGCCCCCGUAACUUCGGAAGAAGGGGGGCCUCAGUAGGGUGACGGACUUCGCGUCCCGAGCUCGAGGAGGCCGCAGAGACCAGGGCCAAGCGACUGUUUACUAAAAACACAGGUGCGUGCUAAGUCGUAAGACGAUGUAUACGCACUGACGCCUGCCCGGUGCCGGAAGGUUACGGGGAAGGGUUAGCCCGCAAGGGCGAAGCUCUGAACCUAAGCCCCGGUAAACGGCGGCCGUAACUAUAACGGUCCUAAGGUAGCGAAAUUCCUUGUCGGGUAAGUUCCGACCUGCACGAAUGGCGUAACGACUUUCCUACUGUCUCAACCACAGACCCGGCGAAAUUGAAGUACGAGUAAAGAUGCUCGUUAGCUGCAGAAGGACGGAAAGACCCCGUGGACCUUUACUACAACUUGAUGUUGGGUUUUGGUAUGUGUUGUGUAGGAUAGGUGGGAGGCUAGGAAGCAUUGGCGCUAGCCAGUGUGGAGCCAUCGUUGAAAUACCACCCUGCUCAUGCCGGAACUCUAACCCUGGUCCGUGAUCCGGAUCGGGAACAGCGUCAGGCGGGUAGUUUGACUGGGGCGGUCGCCUCCUAAAGAGUAACGGAGGCGCCCAAAGGUUCCCUCAGGUUGGUUGGAAAUCAACCGUGGCGUGUAAAGGCGUAAGGGAGC